GUUGGCUGUGUGUUUUCUUGGUAUUUUUUGAAGCAUUUUAGCCCGAUAAUGUCAUCAUCAUCCCUUUUGCAUUGCGAAGCACAGCAGUCAUCCCUUGAAGAAAUCUGCUGCUGCUGCUGCGGCAUUGGCGUCGCGUGUUUUUGUGAUCCUGUCUCAUAAUGUAUUAUUUAUUUUUUUGCGCGCUUGUUUAAAGCAUCGAUUUUGCAUGGUCCAAAGGCGACAAGAAAGAGUUGUUAUAGUUUGUGUGUAUAGUACAAAAUUAUUGGUGUACUAGAGUCCCUACCCCUCAGAAAAAAAAAAGUGAAGCAAGCAAAAAAUAAUGUCGAGUGGGUAAUUGUUAUUUUGAGGCUUUGAAGUUUUGGAAAAGUUGAGGUCAAAGCGUGUCAUUGAAACAGAGAACGGUUAAGUUUUGGUUUUUGGUUCUUUACAUCUUCAGUAUGAUUAUUUAAACAGAAGUUGCCAGUUUUGCUUAUGGUGUUUUUUUUCAGUAUGACUGCAGGGAGGAGUGCUCAAACCUCCAUCUUUGGGAUAUGUCAAUUACAAUCAAGCUAAGUUCGCAUUAGCUUAUUUAUGGUGAGUUAUGAUUGUGUUCAUGAUGAAAUGGAAGUUCUUUUUCUUUUCUUUUCUUUUCUUUUUUGUUGAAGGUUUAUGGUUUUGAGUGUGGUGGAACCCAUUGGACAUUAUUUUAUGAAGUGGUCACAUGGCUUAAUAUUAGAGGUAUUUUCUAAUUAUAUUCAGUGUUAUUAGGGAAGAUUUAGAUUUUUUUUUACCCAACAUUUGAUGAUUAUAGUGAGAAUUUUUAAAUUAGGUUUGAAUCAGGUCCAAAUUUAAUGAUGGUUAUUACCUACGAGUUACAAAACUGAUUUUUUUUUUCUAUCAAGGAUUGGUGUUUUUCUUCCUAAUAACAACAAUAAGGUUAAAAUGUUGUUUUGUUUGUGUAUUUUGAAGAUUUUUUCAUUUUUAGUUCAAAUAUUUUUAAUUUUCACACUUUUCAACAACAUUAAAUUUGAGAAACUAAAUUUAACUGUGAUUUAUGCUCAAUCACGAGGUUAAGAGAACCCAAAUAAUAUUUACUUUUUGGUCCACUCUUUGAAGCUUCUUCAAUUCUUAGGUGAUCUUCGUCCUCAAUCGAAUUCAACUUCAUUGGAUCAUGUAGGUUGCAUCUUUGUUCAUCAUCUAGGCUUCUAGUAUUACGAUUCUUAUACUUCUACAUCCCUUUGGAACUUAAUCGAGAUGAGUUCAAACAUAAAAUUAAAUAAUACAACAUGGGAGUAUUGAUUUGAGAAGUUUUUUAAAACAGUGACGUACUAAAUUUAAGAUUAAUCGAUAUAAAAAGAAGUAGAGUGGCCAUUUUAUAGAAUGAUAUUUUAAUCUAAUAAUCUAAUAAUAAAUAAUAGUCGUAGUAAUAAUAAUAAUAAUUAUUGAUAUGUUUGCACUUCAAAAGCUUCCAAAAAUAUACCUUUACAAUUUAUGGAUAAAGCUAUUAAAUGAUAUUCCCUCUCCUAUUUAACAACUCCAUCAAUAAUAAAUUUCAAAUAGUUAUGAUAAAGAAAGUAUUAAGUUAAAACACAUUGUCAUAUCAUAUAAUAAGGAGACACAACUACGUCAUCUUUUUUAUAUAAAAAAAAAAUUAAGAAUUUGAUUUAAUUUUAUUAACAAAAGGAAAUAAUGUGACAUACUUUUUAAGAAAAGAGUAAUAAUAUAUAUUUUUAUAUAUAUAAAGAUUAUUUUAAUAAUGGAUGAUCAUUAUUGCAUUGCUACUUGCCUUGGUGAUUUGGAUGUUACAACAAUGACGACGUGCAAUAUGGGACACCAUUAUUUCCCUAUUUAUUCAUUUUCUUAAUCUCUUUUACUAAUUAUUAAAAAAAAUAAAAGUUAGGCUACUUUGUAAAUUCAAUCAAUGAUUUUUAAUAAUUCUUGUAUCUAUCGUAUUCAUAAGUUAGGGAAACAAAAUUAAUUUUUUUACCGUAAAAUUUUCCAAACUAAUAAUUAUAAGCAUUACAACGUCCAACUUUCAACCUCAAUUUAUCCUGAGGAUCAUAAUUUUUUUAAUUGAUUUCGAAUUUAUGUCGGAUGGUAACAUUUUAGAAUCUAUCUACCGGUACACUUCUUAUAAAAAAAAUGUAUUGUUUAAAAUUUUUGUUAUAUAUUAUAAAUAUUUUUUUUUAUUUGAGCGUAUAUUUAAAAGUAAAUCUAGUUAAAAGAUAGAAUAUAUUAAUUGAUCUUUAUUAGGAUUUAAUUAGUUUAGGAGUGUAGUAUGAUAUUUUUUAACAAGACAAAAGAUAGUCUCUCUCCAAUCUUUGUGUGAUCCUCAAACCUAUCUGUUAAAAAUACAUAAUGGUGUGCAUGCUCAUCACUUGAGUUGGAAUAACAUUAUUAAAUUUUAAUUUUCAAUCUUCAUUAAUAUUUGUUUUAUAGAAAUAUUGAACUUGAAUCGCUUUAUUUUAUUUUAAAUAUGUACGUAAAUAAUUAAAUAUAUAAGUUUAAUUUAGAGUGAGGUAUAAUUGUAACUUUUUAGGAAUUAUUUUGACCAACUUUCAAUCUUCAAUGUUUGAAACUUUUAUGUCUUGUACUUAACUACUGUACAAAUUAAUUUAAUUUAUGUUUGUAACUUUGUAUGACUUUUAUUUAUGGAUAAUGUUUAUAAAAGAGUUUGAUUCUAAUAUUUAUGCAUAAACGAUUCUGUUUCGAUUCCAUUUUAUUUGUACAUAAGUGGAUUUAAUUUCUAUUUGAUUUGACACAGAUGAAUGGUUUUUUGUAUUUUUUGGUUCGGUGCAGUUUUGGCUUCAAACGAACAAUGAACGUCUCUAAUUGCUGAUAUGUUGUAUUAUUUAUCGACUACGAGAAUUGAAUCUAAAUUUUGUUAUAUGUGCAAAUUCAAAUUUACUUUUGCAGUGGGUUAUAUUUGCUAAUAUUUUGUGUUAAUUGCUAUGUUUGCAACUUCUUUUUUUUAGUGAUCUCUUUCUCUCAUGUUCGUUGAUGCUAAACUAUUUUAACACACUCUCUUGUGUAAAUAUAAAAAGAAGUGUGAGGUCUUCGCUAUUUUUUCAACUUCUUAUCCUCUAAAUGGUUUUCUAUGUUUGUUUUAGGGGAUGUAAUAUAUUUUAGUUUGUCCGUCUUUCGUUAUUUUUUUAGUAUCUUUUGGUUUACUUAUAUUUCAACAGGAAGGGAGAAAUACAAAUUAUCGAAAAUAACCAAUUUGAAUAUAAUUGAGUGAAUAAGAUAUCAAUCAAUAUCAUUUCAAAUCGAUUACCUAUCUCAAAUUUGUAGAAAAGAAAAAUUGAAGAAGACAAAAUCAAUAACUAAUUUUGUAAUUUUUAAAAAAUAGAAUUAAGGGUGAGCAUGAUAACCAAAAAAAUCAACCAAUUCUAAGUUGGUCGAUUGGGAUCAGUUUUGAAAAGUCUGAAAUCGAAAAUUUUCAAAAAGUAUUUUUAAGUGUUAAACCGACCCAACCAAACAAAAAUCGACAAAAACCAACCGACCUUUACUCAUGAAUAUCGAGGUUGGUUUGAACAUUUAAUUAAACCAAUUAUGGUUAGUUCGGUGACGAUUUUGUCAAAAAAAAAAAAAACAACCCCGACCGAUAAUCACCUAGAUUAUAUGUAUAAGAAUGUUUUAUUUAGGUAACCAAUGCCACGUAGGUUGAGAAUAAAAUUUGUCUUGUCUUGAUUCUUGUUGGAAAAGCCACCAUUUUAUUUAUGUAAUUUUUUUUUUAAUUAAUGGUUAUUCUCAUUAUUUUAUUGCAUAGAUAUUCUCAAACUUCUUUCCUUAGGCCUCCAAGUGGCAUCAUUUUGUGCUUCCAUGACUUUCUCUCUCUAAUAUUUGACUUAGUUUCAUGAGAGAGAUACUUUGUAAUUACUUUCUUACCCUUCCUCCUUUAUUAUUGUUCCUACUCAUUCUUUAACCCUCAAAACAUAACUCUUUUUUGCCUUAACCUCACUUUUUCUCUACAAAAGUAUGAAUUAUUCAUUGGCAAAAGUGGAGUCAUAUAAUCAUUAUAAUUUGGCCAAUUUUGUUAGUACAACCCUAUUAUAAUUACCCUUAACUUCAACCUUUUAUCUACUAUCAAUAUGUUAUCGGAAAACAAAGAUUCUUUUUCUUCCAUGAAGUCAACUAGAAAGAAGAGUUUCAAUCUAUUAUUGAAAGUAGUUGGUUUAAAACUAUUGAUUUUGGUUACUUCAACUUUCUUCUAUGGAAUAUGAAUACAUUUGAUCCAUAAAAAAUGUUAAUUUUUAAUCAUCAUUGUUUGAUUUUUUGUAUACCAAUACAUCGGUUUGACUUUUCUUUUCCAUAAGAACUGUAGUCAUAUUUGUUGUUUUUCUAGAAUGAAUCUCUAUUUUAUUGAUAAUUUAGUAGGGGUAUAAACCUAAAUAUACUCACGAGAGGAAUAUACUUAAGAAAAGAAUACUUCAAUACCCUCCCUCAAACUCAAGGUUCGAAUCACGAACUUGAGUUUGCUAAUAACUAAGAAAACUAGAAUAGAAUUAGAAACGCUGAGAGAACAAACAUAAAGAAACUAAAACAAAACUUAAGCAAAAUUGAUAUGAGCGAAACUGACCUAGAGGGUUAGUGGGUCUGAGCGUCGACGACAGUAUGAGUUUCACGGAUCUGGAUUGACAGGAGACAGACAGAUAGAUGGAACGACGUCGUCAUUCAUUGACGAGCGGUGGUUCUGAAGGUCAAAAGAGCAAAGAUGCAAAUAUGUGAGGGGAUUCGUUUGUAGAUCUAAACUGGUACAGAUCAGAUGUGAGCGAAGAUGCGACAAAUAUGUGGAUCGAAAGGGCAACGGCGGAUUGGAGGGGCGACAACAAAUCUGAGAAAAGAAGAAGCGGCGACGAGUUGUAGAUUUAAAGGCGUGGAUGGCAGAUCUGACGGCAUAAGGUUUUUGAAACAUAUGGACAAUGACUAUACAAUAGAAAAUUCAGGAUGGUUUGCUUCCAUCAACGAAUGAUCAACUAAGGCAGACAAACGGGAUGCAAUGGCUAGACUACAAUGAGACCAAG
rnacentral:lncRNA from 1 species